GACAGGGGGUGCAAACGUUGUUCGGAAUUACUGGGCGUAAAGCGCGUGUAGGCGGCUAUGUAAGUCGGGCGUGAAAUCCCACGGCUCAACCGUGGAAGUGCACCCGAAACUGCGUAGCUAGAGUCCUGGAGAGGAAGGUGGAAUGCUUGGUGUAGAGGUGAAAUUCGUAGAUAUCAAGCGGAACACCGGUGGCGAAGGCGGCCUUCUGGACAGUGACUGACGCUGAGACGCGAAAGCGUGGGGAGCAAACAGG
rnacentral:rRNA from 1 species